UAUAUAUUCACAAAGUUUUAUCGCUAUAUGUGCAGUAAUAAAGGAGAAAUUCAAUAAUUAAUGAAAAAAUAUUAACUACUUCCUGUAGGUCGUGACGUUUUCUCCUGGUUUUUGCAUGCCGGGAUUUAAAAUACAAUCAUUAAAAGUCUUGGUUUUUAAUCAUAUUUUAACGUAAUCGUAAGCGCGCCGAUGACUUAUGCUUUAUCUAAUAACCAG
rnacentral:lncRNA from 1 species